rnacentral:misc_RNA from 1 species
AGAGUCGCUUCACCUCCGCGGCCGGACGUCCGCGGCACCGUGCUGGCCGUGAACCAGGAUUACAACUUCGUCGUGCUCAAUCUCGGCGGCCGGCAGGGCAUUCAAGCCAACACCGAAAUGCUCGUGCUCCGCGGCGGCACCUUGAUCGGCAAAAUUCGUGUCUCGUCAGUUGAACCCGCCACCGCCAUCGGCGAUAUCAUCACCAACAGCCUCGCGCGUGGCGUGCGGGUGCAGCCUGGAGAUGUCGUUAUUUAUGCUGGCAGCAAUUCGUAAUCACUGCGUCGCUCGUGCCGCGAAGCUCGCGCUCCUCCUCGGCCUCGCCGCCGGUUUCGCCUCCUGCGCGACGAAGGAAAAGAAGCCUCAGCUUCUCUCCAGCGGCCCCGAGGAGUCGCAGCUUCC